AAAAAUGCCAAAAAUGCACAAAAUCCCCCCCAAAAAUUUGGAAUUUUUGCUGCUGGAAGGAGAAUUUUAUUGGGAUUUUUUGAUCAGAAAAUGAUUUUUUAGCUCCAGAAUUGGAAUUCUGGGAGCGGAUCAAGCUCCAGGCAUCCCAAAUUCCCUGGGAAAAAGGGAUGGGGAGGGAAAAGGAGGUGGAAAAAAAUGGGAGGAAUCCUCAAUUUCCUGGGAUCAGAGGUGGAUGUUGGAGUCUGUGAAUUCCCAAAUUCCCAAAUCCUGAAUUCCCAAAUUCCCAAAUAAAUCCCGGGAUUCCUGGGAUCAGAUCCAGAUGUCGGAGGUGCCGUUCCCCGUUCCCCAUUCCCGGAAUUCCCGGGAUUCCCGGGAUCAGAUCCAGAUGUCGGAGGUGCCGUUCCCCAUUCCCCAUUCCCAGAAUUCCCACAGAAUUCCCGGGAUCAGAUCCAGAUGUCGGAGGUGCCGUUCCCCAUUCCCCAAAUUCCCAGAAUUCCCAGAAUUCCCGCAGAAUUCCCGGGAUCAGAUCCAGAUGUCGGAGGUGCCGUUCCCCGUUCCCCAUUCCCGGAAUUCCCGGGAUUCCCGGGAUCAGAUCCAGAUGUCGGAGGUGCCGUUCCCCAUUCCCCAUUCCCAGAAUUCCCGGAAUUCCCGCAGAAUUCCCGGGAUCAGAUCCAGAUGUCGGAGGUGCCGUUCCCCAUUCCCAGAAUUCCCAGAAUUCCCGGAAUUCCCGGGAUUCCCGGGAUCA